UCCCGUUCCUGUUCCCUUCCCACCUCUCCCGGCUUCAGACCUCGGGCUCCCCGCUCCUGCGCCGCCGCCACCGUCGCGGCCCUCAUCCCUCAAAUUAAACCUCUAGGCCUCCACUCGUUGAAGCCACGUCACUCGUAUUAGCACACCUGUCCCUCGCUGUAACGGAGGCCCGUCCCUCGCUGCAACGAAUACCCCUCUCCCUUUAGCUGCACUAGCACUGCACUGGUUCGUAUCGUCUCCCACUCUCCCUCUCCCUCCCAUUCACACGGUCUCAGUGAAGAACUCCUCCGCGACUUGGUGGCCAUCGAUGGCGACGCACUGCCCUACCACGACAUGGGUUGUUUGGAGAUGGUCAUGUACGAGCGGUGGUUCAUGUUCUAGAAGCGGCGGCAACAUCCUACACCUGAGAGCGGCCGAGUCAUCCCGAACCCGCACGGCACACGCGGACGCGCUCACGCGCCUGGGCUGGGGAUUUAUGCUUCUGACGGAAAUAUUUGGUGGUUCAGUUUGAAUCAAGAGUUUUUGUGUAUUUCUUUCUUACUAUGAUUUGGUAGGGAGGGACUGAAUAUUAUCAUGGAAUUGGAAUACAAAUAAACAAAUUCAAUCUAUUGCAGCGGAGGAUAAGCAUGUAAUUAGCAGACCAACAACAUUUGCACUUGUCCAUGCUGAUGGCACUACAAAAUUCCUGGGUAAGGCCUUAAAGUUCAUCAAAGAUUAUGGUAAAUCCUUUUUCCAUAUUUUAAUAAUUCAAUACACGUUUGUUGAGAUAAUGGAUGUAGUUUUCUCCAGAGAUGUGUGGAGAUGUGUCUAGCAUAUGAUUAAGGUAUAACAGUAUAACACAGUUUCAGUGUCUGCACUCUGUCCAUCCACUUGGCUUUGUUUGGUUGAUAUCUUUUUGUUCUUGCAUAAUGGAUUAGUUCAUGGAUGGGAUCUCGAUUUUGCUCUAUGGAAAUGUGUGGUGGUACACACUUCAAAACAUAGUUACAACAUUGAAGAGAAUCGUGACUACAAUGAGUGGAACUGCACUAUCACUAUAGAUCUAUAGCAGUAGAGUUAUGAAGGAACUUUAUCAUUCACUGACUCACAAUUGCUGCAUGUUUUGUAUAAUGAGUUUUUGGUUGAUGGAGCUCGGGUUGUGGGUAAUAGAUGCAUCCAGUCAGAUCGUGUUCACUUGGGGAAGGAUACAUGGAUUUUGUGAUGAACACAAACUUACAAAGGCACAUGUCUUAACUCUUAAUACAAGUUUUUGCUUAAUGACUUCAUGGACAUGGAAUGGAGAAGAUCUACCCCCUCCUGAUACUAAAGCUAUUAGGGAUAUCUGUGUACUGCAUGGCGGGCAUGUUGUAUUGCAUCACUGAGCAGGAAGUUCCCUUUUCAGGUCUACAAAGAAAGUGGUGCACCCAUAAGGUGAGGGCAUCUAUCACAAAAGUUUGUCAUGAAGCGAAAGAGAUCUUUCAAGAGACAAAAAAGCCAAGUUGGUCAUGGAAUGCUUGAAAUUUUAUUGCAUGACAAUGAUGAAGAGGAGGCAGCAUUGCAGAGAGUUGCCCAAGCUGAACGUGCGGCAAAAUAGGCUGUACAAAGAGCUAUUCGACUGCGCAACAAGGUCCAAUUCUCAUGACAAACACAGAACUCGCAACAUACAAAUCUAUCAUAGUUCUCAGGAUUGUCGAGGCUGCUAGUAUAUCAGACUCGUCCCAAGAUAUUAUUUGUAUUAUCCUCGACUAAAGAAUAAUAUGGGUUGUUCAUUAUUUUUGUGAAGAGCAUGGGAAACACUCUUUGUAGCCAUGAUAUUGGCUUUUGAUGAGUUGUUCAUUGUUUUUAAGAAUAUACUGCCAUGUAAGUCAUUUUGUUUACAUCUUAAUAUGACGGUUUCCAUAAUGUCC